GACGAACGCUGGCGGCGUGCUUAACACAUGCGAGUCGAACGGAAAGGCCCUGCUUGCAGGGUACUCGAGUGGCGAACGGGUGAGUAACACGUGGGUGAUCUGCCCUGCACUUCGGGAUAAGCCUGGGAAACUGGGGCUAAUACCGGAUAGGAGCCAUUUUUAGUGUGAUGGUUGGAAAGUUUUUUCGGUGUAGGAUGAGCUCGCGGCCUAUCAGCUUGUUGGUGGGGUAAUGGCCUACCAAGGCGGCGACGGGUAGCCGGCCUGAGAGGGUGGACGGCCACAUUGGGACUGAGAUACGGCCCAGACUCCUACGGGAGGCAGCAGUGGGGAAUAUUGCACAAUGGGCGCAAGCCUGAUGCAGCGACGCCGCGUGGGGGAUGACGGCCUUCGGGUUGUAAACUCCUUUCGCUAGGGACGAAGCUUUUGUGACGGUACCUAGAUAAGAAGCACCGGCUAACUACGUG
rnacentral:rRNA from 1 species